CCUUUGAAUUCCUAGUACUGGUUCAGAUAAAGAAAACGGAAAAAGAACAGAGAGGAACGAGCAUCGUAGGUGGAAGAAGAAGAAGAUAUGAGAGGGGUGUUUCUACCAUGGAAUCCACCACGCUUCUUCCACACACACUCUCUUCCUUCCCACUCCUUCUGUCUCCACCCAAACAGGCCCUUCUUCACCCUCUCGGCUUCGGCCUCCGUGGAGUCCCCGGAGCAGCUGAGCGCGCGAGAGAGAAGGCGAGCGAGGGGCGAGAGAAGAGAGAGAAAGAGCGGCACGAACUGGAGGGAGGAGGUGGAAGAGAGGCUCAUGGUGAAGCCCAAGAAGCAGAAGGGUUCGUGGAUGGAUGAACUCAACCUCGACAACCUCGCCAAGUUGGGUCCCCAAUGGUGGGUCAUUCGGGUUUCGCGAGUCAUGGGUCACGACACUGCGCAACUCCUCGCUCGCUCGCUCGCUAAGAACUACCCCGACAUCGAGUUUAAGAUAUAUGCUCCAUCUGUCAAUGUGAAAAGGAGAUUGAAGAACGGUUCCUACUCUGUUAAACCAAAGCCACUGUUCCCAGGUUGUGUUUUCUUUAGAUGUGUGAUGAACAAAGAACUACAUGACUUCGUAAGAGAGUAUGAUGGUAUUGGAGGCUUUCUUGGUUCCAAGGUUGGAAACACAAAGAGACAGAUCAAUAGACCGAAGCCGGUAUCUGGGAAAGAUAUGGAAGCAAUCUUCAAACGUGCCAAAGAAGAACAAGAGAAAACUGACCAAGCUUUUGAGGAAGAAGAGAAAAAUGCUGCCCUAAACUCUGAGAUUAAAAAUACAGAAUUAGAACUCGAUGAUGUUGUAAAUGAUAUUGUUGAUUCUAAGCCUAAAAGGGGAUCUAGAAAAACUUCUAAUCAGGUCACAGUUACAGAUGCAUCAUCUACUAGGAAAGAUUAUAAACUCUUUGUUCCAGGUUCCACUGUUCGAGUUGUAUCUGGAACAUUUUCAGGGUUUACAGGCACCCUCAAGAAGCUGAACCGAAAAACCAAAAUGGCCACUGUCCAUUUCACUCUAUUUGGGAAAGAGAACAUAGCAGACAUAGACGUUAAUGAAAUUGCUCUAGAGACAAACUGAUGCCUGUAGAUUUUCUCCACUGAUGGUAUGCUUCACUUGUUCGGCGGUAAUCAUACAGCAUUAGUACCUACAUAACUUUAGUGGUAUUAAAAAAAAUGCUUUCAAGAGUUGCAUUUGUGGAUGAAAAAUAAAUGCAUUCUUAUAUCUUACCAAGAGCUUACUUGUGUAUUAUGAAUCAUGCAAAGUUAAGGAAUUUACUGUUAGUAAGCCUAGCAGGACAGGUGGAAGCUUUUUGCUGAUGCAUCAUUCCCAAAAUUGAAAUCUGAGAUGUAUGCACCGAAGGCCUAAAAUCUGAGGGAUAAGGAGUAACAUCUUCGGUGGUGACCUCAUCAAGAACAUCAUCAAGAUCAAGAUAUUUCGUAGAAAACCUCUCUAAGAUCAAAUUGAAACCUUGAAGGCACCUCAAGAAAGUGAAUAGCUUGUCGAACGACAUGCUUGAAGCCUUUUGCAUGCUCAUUAUAUAUUUGGUAACCGGCAUUGGCCUUAUAAGCAGUGAAGUUAGCAAGAAUUUAUCUUUUUCAGCAUUCACAAAAUCAAACUCUCCUUUUAAAACCUUAAGCUCUUCAACCAACUUAGUCUUAACCGCAUUUGCUUCUUUAAGCUCCUCCUUCAGGCUAUCAACCAAAUCUUGAAGCCGUUUUCAAUGAACUUCAAUCUUCUCAUUA